GGUCUCGUAGCUCAGCGGUUAGAGUGUUGGAUGAUCUUGACUUCAAUUGAGAUUGUUAUUCCGAAAACCAGGGUUCGACUCCCUGCGAGACCU